rnacentral:rRNA from 1 species
GUGGGGAAUUUUGGACAAUGGGCGCAAGCCUGAUCCAGCAAUGCCGCGUGCAGGAAGAAGGCCUUCGGGUUGUAAACUGCUUUUGUACGGAACGAAAAGGCUCUGGUUAAUACCUGGGGCUCAUGACGGUACCGUAAGAAUAAGCACCGGCUAACUACGUGCCAGCAGCCGCGGUAAUACGUAGGGUGCAAGCGUUAAUCGGAAUUACUGGGCGUAAAGCGUGCGCAGGCGGUUUUGUAGGACAGACGUGAAAUCCCCGGGCUCAACCUGGGAAUGGCGUUUGUGACUGCAAAGCUGGAGUGCGGCAGAGGGGGAUGGAAUUCCGCGUGUAGCAGUGAAAUGCGUAGAUAUGCGGAGGAACACCGAUGGCGAAGGCAAUCCCCUGGGCCUGCACUGACGCUCAUGCACGAAAGCGUGGGGAGCAAACAGGAUUAGAUACCCUAGUAGUCC